rnacentral:rRNA from 1 species
UACAGAGGUGGCAAGCGUUGUUCGGAAUUACUGGGCGUAAAGGGCUCGUAGGUGGCCAACUAAGUCAGACGUGAAAUCCCUCGGCUUAACCGGGGAACUGCGUCUGAUACUGGAUGGCUUGAGAUUGGGAGAGGGAUGCGGAAUUCCAGGUGUAGCGGUGAAAUGCGUAGAUAUCUGGAGGAACACCGGUGGCGAAGGCGGCAUCCUGGACCAACACUGACGCUGAGGAGCGAAAGCGUGGGGAGCGAACAGG